UACGUAGGGCGCAAGCGUUAUCCGGAAUUAUUGGGCGUAAAGAGCUCGUAGGCGGUUUGUCGCGUCUGCCGUGAAAGUCCGGGGCUCAACUCCGGAUCUGCGGUGGGUACGGGCAGACUAGGGUGAUGUAGGGGAGACUGGAAUUCCUGGUGUAGCGGUGAAAUGCGCAGAUAUCAGGAGGAACACCGAUGGCGAAGGCAGGUCUCUGGGCAGAUACUGACGCUGAGACGCGAAAGCGUGGGUAGCAAACAGG
rnacentral:rRNA from 1 species